AAAUAACUUUUCUUCCUGUAAGACUGGUAACUUUAUAUAAUCUGUUAGCCAGUAAUAGUGACUAUUUUCAUGCUAUUUACUUGUUGUACGCUUUUUAUUAAAACAGGUGUGACUCUUAAUCUUUGGACAAGAUUUCAGGAGAUAUGAGGAGCAGUAAACAGAGUCAUUUACAUGUAAAUCCUUACAGUUAUAUAAGUGAACCUUUUUAUAUGGUGUGACAAAAUUUCGCACUUCUUUUUCACCAUUAUGUAAAUCCUGCUUUUUCUUUAAAUUCUCUUUCUGUGUAUUUGGUCCUCACACCAUACAAAUACUUCAUUACACACAUACAACUGCCUCAGACUGCGUAAAUGUACAAUAAGUACCCAGACCCGGUGAAGUGAAAUUCUUUCAUCAGAAAUGGAGCUUCUCUGGUCUAGAAAAGUGGUUUGAUGUGGGGAAGUACUGAGAACAGCACAGCUGAGUAGCCUCAGGGUUUAUUGUCUGUUUAUUGUCUGCACAAGGUCAAUCACAGUGCUUUAACUCUUUUCACCAAAAAUUACUCACUCGUAGCGAUCACAUGUGCUGAGUUGAAUUUAUGAUAUCUACGCUGUAGCCCAACUCAUGCUCAGAUUGUGAGAUGGGAACUGCCGCCACAUGUAUACAAAUAUUUUAUCUCUCUAAGCCAGCCCACCAUUGUACAGUAUUUAAUACAUUUAAAAUCUAAAACUUGAUAUUAUUAAUUAUACAAGUUUCAUUACCUGCUUUUUUCCCUUGUGCUAAAAAAAAGAUGAGCAAUAAAUAAAGCGAAUACCAGGAGUUACAAAGUUUUUCAGCAGAUACUGUGAGAAGCUGAUAUAAGCUGUGGUUUGUGACGCUUUCUUUCAAUCUUGAUAUCUUGAAAUAACAAAGUUAUCCAGAUAAUAGGAUAAUGUCCUUGUAAUCUAUGCAAAAGAAAAUAUUUCUCCAUGUGAUCACGAGAUAAUUUUCUAAUUAAUUUGAGUCUUUGUUUUCUCAAGAACAGGAGGAAAAUGUCUUUUCAUUAUAAGAAAACAUGUUGGCUAUCCUGAGAUUGUGAGAUAAUUUGCCUUGUGAUAACAUAUUUUUAAAAAUCGCGACCAUGGUCACUUUUUGCUGUUGUUGUUGUUUUUACAUUUUUGUUUUACAUUUUAUCCAUUAAGGCAUUAUUUUGUGUGAAAUUUCUAUCACACAACACCUUUCCCUUGUAGACAGACUGAGGUCAUAUGGACCCUCUGAAACACUAAUACCACCUAUCGUCUUGGAAUGUCACUCUAAGUCCACCCUAAAUAAGCCUACCCUGGAGCCUCAGUGUAAACCUACAGUGAGCAAGGUCUUAUUCCCACAGUAUACCAUGGGAAAUAUUUCCGAGCAGACAUCCUAACUAUUCAACAGCAGGUCCAGGGCCCCUGUGUGGUUUACAGUUUGCUGUUUGUGUUCUGGCUCAUUAAAUAAAUGAGCCCGGUGUGUCGUAGAGUGAACUUACCGGUCCUAAUCACUGAUAAUAAAGAUUGCUCCUUUCACAACAGAUUAUCCAGAUAUGAUAAAAUCAUCAGGAUGUUUAAUUACAUUUAUUGUUUGUUUAUGUUCAAUUUAUUUUGAUCAUGUAAACAACAUACAGAAGCUCAUUAAGGAAAGAAAAGAAAAAAGAAAUGCUUCACAAAACGCACGUCAAUAUUGCUUCACCUAUUCUGAUUCAGUUACAUGUAGAAAAGUACGGCAUCUUAUCAAAUAUGAUAUGAUAAUUAUGAUAUUAUGUUGCUCAAAUGCACACUAACUGAGUCUAAUGGAGCCCACCUUCCACAUCGAACAUGAUAUUUGUUGUCAUUUUACAGUUGUUUGUAAACAAAAUGUAAUGUAUUGUGAUGUGAAUAUGCAUUAAAGUCUUUUAUGCUUUGAUUAAAUAAUAACCAGC
ensembl:lncRNA